UCUAUUGUGUUUCUGCAGCCUCUCCACUCUCUUCUUCGAUUUCUUUUAUGCAUUAGCUACACAACGCCGGUGACUUCUUGAAAUUGCCACAACGCCGGUCUGAAUCGCUCAUAUACUGCUUGAUUCAACGAUUCGGCUCCAUUGUUCGUCGCCUCUGCUGCAGCAACGAUUCAGCUCCAUUUGGUUGCCUCAGCUGCUCCAACGAUUCAGCUCCAUUUGGUCGCCUCAGCUGCUCCAACGAUUCAUCUCCAUUUCGUUGCCUCAGCUGCUCCAACGAUUCAUCUCCAUUUCGUCGCCUCAGCUGCUCCAACGAUUCAGCUCCAUUUCGUCGCCUCAGCAACAAUUCAACUCCAUUUCGUCGGCUCCACUGCUCUUCGCCUCUGUCUCUGCUGUUUCAACGAUUCAGCUCCAUUAUUAUCAAAGGUAAAAUCCUUAGAAGUUUUCUGAUAUCAAACAGGGGCAAUUUUGGGUACAGACCAUGUUAGCAAAUCACUAGCAUAUGAUGAAAUCUUGUUUGGGGAAAGAACAAGAAAUAUAUGGACAUUGAGGAGUUUUAAACUUCAAGCACCUCUUUGACUCGGGCAGAGCUGUUGCUAUUCCUGCUGCAUUGAAGAUCAUUGGUCUAGAACUUAAUGACAAAAACAAUUGAGCUAAAAUGGCAUAUUCCUUCAUUAAUGCUUGCUGGAAACCAGAACCAAAGCAAGCAGAGAAACUCGGUCAAACUGAGAUGAUUACGACAUGCCUUCAUCAAUUUUUAGAAGAUAUACAAAGAUGUCAAUCCAUUUCAUGGCUGUAAGGACACUUGGUGUAAUUGCUUUGUUUGAUGUUGAUGGAACUCUCACAGCUCCAAGAAAGGUGCCAAAUUAUUUUUUUUGUUUACUUUUGUUAUAAUGCUUUCUCUUUGGUGUUAUAAUGAUUUAAAUGAAGUACUGAAUUGAGUUCAUUAUAAUAAGCUUAUCCUAAUUAUCAUUGAAUGAAAUAAUACAUGCUUUUUCUGGGUGAAAUAUGUAACUAAAAUAUUAAAAUUAGGACUUGUGUGGUUGCUGUAACUU